rnacentral:tmRNA from 1 species
GGGGGCGCACUGGUUUCGACGUGGAUAUGGAAACCGGAGUUGCAGGCCGAGGCGCCGCUGGCCUCGUAAAAAGCGGCAAAACAGUAAUUGCCAACAACGAUUACGACUACGCCUACGCUGCCUAGUCAGCGCGGCAACCUGACCGCAUAGCCGGUCACGUCCGGGGGGAGGACGCCUGAUAAUCCCACCGGGCGACACUCAUCAGGCUGGCGGAAACUGGUGUUCACCGGGGUUUUCCGCGAGAUUGUCACCGGCGAGCCCGCCGUGCUGCGCCUGAUCAGGGGCCACCAGCACGGUCAGAUCCAAACCUGAUCUAUGCCUGUAGACGCUUCGCGCGGAGUGUUCGCGGACGGGGGUUCGACUCCCCCCGCCUCCACCA